rnacentral:rRNA from 1 species
CAGCAGCCGCGGUAAUACGAGGGGAGCUAGCGUUGUUCGGAAUUACUGGGCGUAAAGCGCGCGUAGGCGGCUUUUUAAGUCAGAGGUGAAAGCCCGGGGCUCAACCCCGGAAUUGCCUUUGAAACUGGAAAGCUAGAAUCUUGGAGAGGUCAGUGGAAUUCCGAGUGUAGAGGUGAAAUUCGUAGAUAUCGGAAGGAACACCUGUGGCGAAAGCGGCUCACUGGACCAUUUCUGACGCUGAUGCACGAAAGCUAGGGGAGCAAACAGGAUUAGAUACCCCUGUAGUCCCUGUCUCUUAUAC